GAAAUGAGUCUUCACUUUUUUCGGUACCUCCGUGCGAGAAGAUCGUCGCCGCCACAACGAGGCGAAAAGUUAUAAAAUCCCUUCGCGGGAAUCACAGUGCGCGGUUUGUGAGUGAUUUUCACCGGUGGUUUAAUUCGGGAACCGAAAUUCACCCGAAAUCGUUCACCGUGAGGUAAAUCCGGUUUCGAGACGCCGGCAACAAACGCACCAAAGGUCAGGAAAAAGUUCCAGAAUCACGCAGGAAGGUAGACGGUCCAAGAAAGCACGGCACCGAACGCAAGUUGACUUCAGUCAACGGGCCGCCAAUCGAAGGGCAAAAGAUCACCCGAAGGUCAGAACAAAACCACGGUUACAAUUCCGUCAGAACCAAAACACCCCGUUCGCUGGG